UACGUAGGUGGCAAGCGUUGUCCGGAUUUACUGGGCGUAAAGAGCGCGCAGGCGGUCCGAUCAGUCGAAUGUGAAAGCCCCCGGCUCAACUGGGGAGGGUCAUUCGAUACUGUCGGACUCGAAGGCAGGAGAGAGAAGCGGAAUUCCCGGUGUAGUGGUGAAAUGCGUAGAUAUCGGGAGGAACACCAGUGGCGAAGGCGGCUUUCUGGUCUGUUCUUGACGCUGAGGCGCGAAAGCUAGGGUAGCAAACGGG
rnacentral:rRNA from 1 species